CCAUUUGUAAUUGAAACUAUUCAAGAUGCAUGGGCCUGAAAGGGCAUUAUAAGUUUCUCUUGCUCUCUGGUGUAGUAAAGAUCUUGUCUUCUAGCAAACAUUAUGAAUGAAAGAUUUUCUUACAAGGAGAGAUGGAGUAGACUGAAUCAAGCCUCUGUCAAGAACCACUUCUGCAAUACUGAAUUAACAUACCCAAGACCAGCACAUCAGGAAGAUAGCCUUCUACCAAGAAUAGUGUGGAGAUACACCUUGUUCACAGAAGCUCUGGAAACAUCAUGAGACUCAGACAGAUACAGUGCAUCCUCCGAUUGUAGAGGUGUUGCUGCUCUCUGAGCACUGCACACUCUGUGUUCAUGACUGAUGGAAAUAAUGCCCAGUUUUGGGGGAGCUUUGUGUUAUGGGAGACCGUAACAGCUGCUCUAAUAGGGUGGCUUACCACUUUCUUGUGGAGACAGGUUCUAUCAUCUCAUUAAUGCAAGCCCUGCCCCUUCACCUAGAUUCCUUCCCAGGCAGCUACAGUGGAUCUGCUCACCAAGGGAAUUUGUCCCACUGGAUUCCAUUUUUUUCUGUGCAGUUGAAUGAAAAGUGUGUGUCUUUUGAAGAACAGCAACUGAAAGAAAUAUUGAUGACUGCCAGGGUAUCUACAGAAAAAGAUAUGAAAAUCACUCUACUACAACAGUGAAGAAAAAUGGGCUUUGUUAACUCUUUCUUGUAGGUUGUAUAUAUUAAUAGGAACAAGUAAAGUUUUGUAUUUUUUCAGAGAAAUACACAAGGCCUUGAAUUGUAUUGUUUUAACUGCAGCUAACUGAAUGAAUUAAGUGGAAAAACGCACACAGUACUUUGAUUGUCUAAUUCUCUGUAUGUGAGGCUUUGGGAACAAUUUGGUACUAUAAAAGAACAGCACUAACCAGAAAUCAGCCGACAUUUAAUUGCUAGGCAGAGGGGCAGUUUGGGGAAAGCUGAUACUUAUUUAUAAAUUAUUAAAUAAAAGCACAUAAUAUGAGGAUCAUCUCUCACUUCCUCCACACUUCAUACAUUACUCAUCUUCCUAAAUUUCAUGGUUUUGUACUCCCUUAGUACAUUGCUGCUUAUAACCAGUGCAGGCAUCAAAACCACCCACAUCCAGGAAAGGAGAUGCCUGUGCAUUUGUAAUGCCGGCAGUUUUGGUUAUGGGACUCAUCAAAGAUUAUGAACCUUCAUUUCAAGGAAAGGAAUCUUGACUCAAGUUUUAAACAUUGUUUUCAGUACCUAAAAUACACCUGAGCACCUGGGACUGUUCAAGUGGCUGAAACUCUGGCUGGUGUUUCCACUUGACUAUGUACCUUUAGAGAUUUACAGCUAGCCAGUACCCUAAAUAGAAGACUUAAGAGCAAUUUUGGCAUUACAUCUGACAGAGUUCUCCAAAAAAAUUGGUUAUGUAAUUCACAUCAGUUUUGGUAAGAAUUGGGUAACUUCUGGUUAUCUUGAGUGGUUCUCACUGCUCACUUGUGCCUUACUACCAUAGGAAACAGCCAUUUGCAUAGGAAACAGAGAGGAGGUAGGUGGUGAUUGGACUCAUCAAGAAGGUCAAGCAGUGUUUUAAUUCUCAAUGUUUUUGGCCAUUUCAGCUCUCCUGUAGGAUGGAGCUGCCAUUAGUUCCUUUAGCACAAAUUUGAGGGCUUUCUUCUAGGAAAACAAGAUCUAUUUCAGAGCACACAGUAGCAGUUCCUUGUGCCAUGUAACAAGAGGUUGGGUAAUGUCUGGGCUCACAAGUGAGAAGCAUGUCUUACAGACCAAGAGGCCCUUCAUGAUCUGCAGAAGAGAGUCUGUGGAUGGGAAGGUGUGCCAGCACCUGGGGAGCUGGCACUGCUGGACACAUCUUUGGACUUGCUGAGCUGCUGCUAUUUAUAAUGACAUUUGUGCCAUACAAACAAAUCCCACCAUUAGACCACUUAAACACUGUUUAUGCAACUUCAAAAUGGUAGAGGCUUAAUUUUAUGACCUCAUCUGCAGGUUUGUUAUAUGUCCACGCUGAAGUGAAGAUUAAAUUGCUAAUCCUAGUUACCAGUGUAGACUGUUGCACAGAAGGUGCCUGAGGUGGAACUGGGCAGAGUUCAGCUUUGCGCAGUUCUUGCCAAGAGUUAUUUGGUAUCCCUGUCACUGUUUUUUGAUGUCAAAGAAUAUUUUCCCCCAAAUAACCUAUUUUUAUGCAAAAGAACACAGCUGCAUUUAUGAAAGGUCUUGGAUUUUACAGUAAGUCUGGUUUGUGUAUAUUGUCUGCAUAAGUACCAAUAGUCAUAAUGAAAAACAUAGUUUUGUUACAGGGAUUUUUAACAGUGGUUUUCAGUAGUUUAGAAAGCAUUGGAGCUCAUUCCAACAAAUGAAAAAAAUCAAAACAAAGCAGCUUUGAAAAUGUUGAUACAAUUUGGCAAAUAAAUCUUUGGUUUUAACUCUGUUUUAUUAUUUCUCUGAUACUAAAACCAAUAUAAAGCAUUGUGGAUUUCAACCAGCUCAACAGAAGAUACAGUAUGGCUUUCAGCCCACUAUCCCCUGCACUGGGGGGCUAAAUCUUGGCUGUGCUCUUGUGAAGCCUUUGGCUGCAUGUUCUGAGACAGCCUCUAUUCAGUGCUUGUGUGCAGUGUUAAAGCUGUCUUCACUGCACCUCUUUUUCCAGCACAACAUGGAAGUUUCCUGGAUUGAAUUCUCAGUCACAAAACUCAUAUGGGAGCCACUUAAAAUGUAAGACCUUUCAAACCCUUGUGAGUUCACAGCAUUUAAAGAUAAGAGCACAGUAUUGCCAGGAAAUGUGUCUUGUUGAGGCCCACAAUUAACUUUAUCAAAAGAAGGAAUCUUAUUUUUGCCUGCUGCAGAUAGAGGUUGCAUCUCAAAGCAGCCUAAAGUUAGAGAUAGCAUCUGGUUCAGAUCACGAUAUGAUGAAAGAUUCAGGUUAAUUAGUAUUUAUUCUUAGUUGAUAGUUAUUCCUUUUGGCUUGAGCUAACAAGCAGGAGUUGGAGUCCAACAAAGUUGCAUCUCCUGGGAUGAGAGAUGAGUGAGGGAGACAGUCUCCAUGGUGAAAAUGUAUUUAGGGAUGGGGAUGUCAGUAGGAAAGACUAGCCAUUGCCUUGGAUUUUGAUGGCCUGAAGGGAGGAUGCUCUGAGGGAUGGCUAAGUGCCAGCAGCGGGGGUUGGAUGUAGGCAUGGGCUGAGGCAUCCCACGGGGCCAUGGACAGGGGGAGGUGCCCUGGUUCUCUGCUCAAUCCAGUGCCCUCACAUGCUCACACAACUCCUUUCUGCCACCAGUUGCCCUAACUGGGUGGUUUUGGCCACAGGGAGCAGUCAAGGAGAAGCUGUGAAGGUGGGUUCUCAGAGCACUUCCAAGGCUUUCAAUUCCCGUAUCUUGCCACUGUUUCCUGUAGCACCACACAGGCUCUACCAGCAAAAACACCACACCACAGUAUAAGGGCAGUUGUUCAUCUUGGGAUUGUUUUUUUUCCUGAGGUCUCCUAAUUGCUUAUACAUCCAGGAGGAGCCUACUAGGUGGAGAGCAGCUUUCCAUGCUUUUUCAGUUCCCAUAUUUAUACUUUUUUUAAAAAUCACUGUUAGCAUUUAGUUGGAGCUGAGACAUUUCUAGCAGGAUCUCCUGUGUAUCUGGGCAGAGUUGCUCUUUUCCAGUAACCUCAUGGACUGUUUUGUU